GAUCCUUUGAGCAGCAUGUGAGCUAUUCUGUACCUAGAUGCAUUCAACAUAAGGAGACAUAUUAGGAGAAAAUGACUUAACAAAAUCAAAGAGAUGUGAGUAGAUUACCAAAGGCAAGAGCAAUGCUUAGUAUAAGAGGAGCACACAAUCAAGGGAUCAAAAUCAUAGUCAAAGGAUUUUUAUAUAUAUGCUGAAAGUAUCAAGGAGG
rnacentral:lncRNA from 1 species